UACGUAGGGUGCAAGCGUUAUUCGGAAUUACUGGGCGUAAAGCGUGCGCAGGCGGUGAUGUAAGACAGAUGUGAAAUCCCCGGGCUCAACCUGGGAACUGCAUUUGUGACUGCAUCGCUGGAGUGCGGCAGAGGGGGAUGGAAUUCCGCGUGUAGCAGUGAAAUGCGUAGAUAUGCGGAGGAACACCGAUGGCGAAGGCAGUCCCCUGGGCCUGCACUGACGCUCAGGCGCGAAAGCGUGGGGAGCAAACAGG
rnacentral:rRNA from 1 species